AUGGCCUACGGCGCUGACAGGAGCCAGUUGCUCGCGCGUAACGUGGGCGGCAACACGCCGCUGCACUGCGCCGCGAGGGCCGGACACAUCAGGAUGGUAAGAUACCUCAUCGACCUCGCUAAAACGGAUGAAGAAGGCGGUGAGAGGGCCAGGGCCAUGGUGGGGAUCGGGAACAAGCGCGGGGAGACGGCGUUGCACGAGGCCAUUCGCUCCGGCUGCAUGGACAUGGAAUGGAUGGUCCGAGAAUUGAUGUCGGUUGACAAUCAACUGGCCCGCGUCGAUGCAUUCGAUGGUACUUCGCCACUCUUCCUAGCCAUCUCAACAGGUUAUUACUCCCUUGCUCGUUCAUUGUACGACAACUAUGACAAGGCAUUGUCCUACUCUGGCCCCGAGGGGCAGAAUGCCUUGCAUGCUGCUGCUUUCCACGGGUUUCGACACGGCAAAGGGAUGACAAAACUGCUACUCGAGUGGAACCCGAAUCUUGUGAGGCAAGCAGACGACUCUAUAAGUACACCGUUGCACUUCGCUGCAUCAGCAGAAGAUUCCACGUUGGAGUUAUUUCUGCUUGUCUUUCCUGAAUGGGACUUCCAAUCGGCCCUCUCUGUUAUGCUACCAAAGGAAUGGGUAUACCGGUUCUAUAGGUGGAGGGAGCACCCAACCUUUCUACUUGUUGAUGCUUGUCCAAAUCUAUCAUUUCAGCCGGAUAGGAACGGGUUGUAUCCGGUGCAUGUGGCUGCCUCGGCAGGAAGCUUGGUGCCCAUCGUCAUCUUGCUCCGCCGUUCUCCUGACUGCGGCCAACUGCGUGAUGCUCAGGGAAGAACCUUCCUUCAUAUCGCCGUCGAGAAGAAGAUGCUUAAAAUUGUGCAGUUUGUGGCCCGCAGGUUAAAGUACAAGGCCAUCAUGAACAUACAGGACUACAAUGGGAACACCGCCUUGCACCUAGCUGUCGUCGAAGGUAACUGGGAUAUCUUCAGAAUUCUCGUCGGGAACAUGCACGUCCGCUUAAAUUUGACAAAUGAAAGUGGCGCAACUCCUAUGGAUAUUGCGCUCUGCAAUGCUCCUCUUGGAUUCUAUUUUGGACGGCAUGCACGACAUCGAAUACUUAUGAAUCUGACCUUAGCCAACGCUAAAAGGAGCUUCUACCGGCGCGACCGCUUCCUGGACCAAUAUGGUCCCAAGCUAGACGAAGCCGAAGAGUCUCAGAAAAUAACGACGUUCGCACAGAUUGGUGGCAUCGGCUCUGUUCUGGUGGCGACUGCGACGUUCGCUGCGACCUUCACCAUGCCCGGCGAUCCAAGCAACACUGGUCCGAAUACCCUAGCCAAUGGCAAAGGCGGCUCACCAACGUUCGCCAGCUUGUACGCCUUCCGCGCGUUCAUCAUCUCCAACACCCUCGCCUUCAUCUGCUCCACACUGGCCACUUUCAGCCUUGUUUACACCGGGGUGGCCACGGUGGACAUACAAAACCGGAUCAAGCUGGUAGCCUUCUCCAUGGAGCUGCUCAAGGGUGCGGCGAGAAGCUUCUGCGUCACCUUCGGGUUCGCCAUCUACAUGGUGCUCCCUCCCGAGGUGGCUCGUGUGAGUGGGACUGACAUGGCGGCAUGCGCCAUGAUGAUCCUAGCAUUGGUGGACGCGGCUUGGGCCAUACUGCCCAUCGUGACUGAUACUACAAUUCUUCUUAGUAGGGAAGACUGGGGUUCCAUGACCAAGCGACUGAUCAAACUAGGGGCUGGAAUCCUAGCAAACAUUGUGUACGUAUUAUGGCCCUACAUCGUCAUCUUCGGUCUGGCGGCCAUCAAAAAGAUCAGUGGCAGCAAGGUUUAA
rnacentral:rRNA from 1 species